rnacentral:rRNA from 1 species
UACGUAGGGUGCGAGCGUUGUCCGGAAUUAUUGGGCGUAAAGGGCUCGUAGGCGGUUUGUCGCGUCGGGAGUGAAAACCUAAGGCUCAACCUUGGGCUUGCAGUGGUACGGGCAGACUAGAGUGCGGUAGGGUGACUGGAAUUCCUGGUGUAGCGGUGGAAUGCGCAGAUAUCAGGAGGAACACCGAUGGCGAAGGCAGGUCACUGGCCGCAACUGACGCUGGAGGAGCGAAAGCAUGGGAGCGAACAGG